rnacentral:lncRNA from 1 species
GUUCCGAACGAUCAUUCAAUAACAAUAAAAUAUAUUUCCGGGAUGAAAAUAAUUUGACAAUUCCAAAUCACUUCGAAACAAAUACACCCCUUCAACAAGGGUUCUUGUGCAAUGUGGAUACGUCUAAGAUACAGAGAACCUUUGAUAAUAUUUAACCUGUUCGCGUCUUCCUGGUUUUAAUUCAUCGGGAACAAAACACGGACGCCUGGAUUCGACACAGGUUUUUACACUUUUAAUCACG